rnacentral:tRNA from 1 species
GGAUCCUUAGCUCAAUCGGCGGAGCCUCCCGCUCAUAACGGGAAGGGUGCAGGAUCGUUCCCUGCAGGAUCCA